rnacentral:misc_RNA from 1 species
AGACGCACCCUUUUCAACAGUCCACUCAAAGGAGAAGCAUUAGCCAUUUAUAUAAUUUUCAUAUAUAUCAUGCCAAGUGGGAAAGGUUAGCCCACAACACCCGCACGCACAAAACAGAAAAACAUAAAAUCCUUCACCCUCCCAUCAUUCAAAGACCAACUCCACUCUCCUCUUCAACUUGAAAAGUUUUCUCCAUCUCUUUACCACCACUGAAACUAGAGCACCAGUCUCAACAAAUUUCAUGGCUUUUACCUGGACUAAUGUUAAACUUCACAAAGAAGAAAGAAAGAAAAAAUUUAAAAUAUGGCACAGGAUAACAAAGAGAGGGAGAGAUUCUUUAAUAAAAGAACUGUGAGGGUUACUCUUAUAUGUGCUAAAACAUAUACAUACACACCCUCCCAUCGCAUAUAUGUUGAAAGAUAUUGUCUACUGUUCUUUCUGGAAAAUAACAAAAGUGAAAAAGAAAAUCCUCCAUUGCUUAAUCCCAAAAAG